AGGUAGGUGUCUUCACUGGGGUGCUAGCUCCCUUACAGAAGACUUCUCUUUGAUGGAUAAGAUUGUUCUCUCACAAAUCUCACAAACUCUCUUAAGAACUAGGGAGAACGGGAGGAGGAAGAAAGAGGGCUAGGGUUUUUCUUAUUUUUCUUACUUUUUCUUGAGGCAUCCAAGUAUUAGACUCUUUUUAUAAGAGGGGCUAGGGAUAAGG
rnacentral:lncRNA from 1 species